rnacentral:rRNA from 1 species
AGGGCCCGGGCAAGACCGGUGCCCAGCCCGCCCGCGGUAACCCCGGCGGCUCGAGUGGUAACCGAUAUUAUUUGAGUCUAAAGGGUCUGUAGCCGGCUUUGAUAAGUCUCUUGAGAAAUCUGGCAGCUUUAACUGUUGGGCUUUCAUGGAGAUACUGUCUGGCUCGAGACUGGGAGAGGUGAGAGGUACUUCAGGGGUAGGGGUGAAAUCUUGUAAUCCUUGAGGGACCACCAGUGGCGAAGGCGUCUCACCAGAACGGACCUGACGGCGAGGGACGAAAGCUAGGGGCACGAACCGGAUUAGAUACCCGGGUAGUCCUAGCCGUAAACGAUACUCGCUAGGUGUCGCCCAACG